rnacentral:rRNA from 1 species
CCUACGGGAGGCAGCAGUCGAGAAUCAUUCACAAUGGGGGAAACCCUGAUGGUGCGACGCCGCGUGGGGGAAUGAAGGUCUUCGGAUUGUAAACCCCUGUCAUGUGGGAGCAAAUUAAAAAGAUAGUACCACAAGAGGAAGAGACGGCUAACUCUGUGCCAGCAGCCGCGGUAAUACAGAGGUCUCAAGCGUUGUUCGGAAUCACUGGGCGUAAAGCGUGCGUAGGCUGUUUCGUAAGUCGUGUGUGAAAGGCGCGGGCUCAACCCGCGGACGGCACAUGAUACUGGGAGACUAGAGUAAGGGAGGGGGAACCGGAAUUCUCGGUGUAGCAGUGAAAUGCGUAGAUAUCGAGAGGAACACUCGUGGCGAAGGCGGGUUCCUGGACAUUAACUGACGCUGAGGCACGAAGGCCAGGGGAGCGAAAGGGAUUAGAUACCCGUGUAGUC